rnacentral:rRNA from 1 species
GGCGAACGGGUGAGUAUCGCGUUUGCAACCUACCUUUAACUGGAGAAUAGCCCGAAGAAAUUCGGAUUAAUGCUCCAUAAUAUCAAGAGAAUGCAUAUUCUUUUGAUUAAAGCUCCGGCGGUUAAAGAUGGGCAUGCGUGCCAUUAGCUUGUUGGUGAGGUAACGGCUCACCAAGGCAACGAUGGCUAGGGGUUCUGAGAGGAUGAUCCCCCACACUGGUACUGAGACACGGACCAGACUCCUACGGGAGGCAGCAGUGAGGAAUAUUGGUCAAUGGGCGAAAGCCUGAACCAGCCAUGCCGCGUGCAGGAUGACGGCGCUAUGCGUUGUAAACUGCUUUUCUGCUCCAAGAACCCCCCGAUCGUGAUCGGGGUUGACGGUAGAGCAGGAAUAAGCAUCGGCUAACUCCGUGCCAGCAGCCGCGGUAAUACGGAGGAUGCAAGCGUUAUCCGGAUUUAUUGGGUUUAAAGGGUGCGUAGGCGGGAUAAUAAGUCAGUGGUGAAAUCCUGCGGCUUAACCGUAGAAUUGUCAUUGAUACUGUUAUUCUUGAGUUCAGUUGAGGUGGGCGGAAUGUAUAAUGUAGCGGUGAAAUGCUUACAUAUUAUACAGAACACCGAUUGCGAAGGCAGCUCACUAAGCUGAUACUGACGCUGAGGCACGAAAACGUGGGGAGCGAACAGGAUUAGAUACCCUGGUA